GGAGGUAUACAGCUUGGUGGUAGAGUACAUGCUUAGCAUGCAUGAAGUCCUAGGUUCAAUCCCCACUACCUCCA
rnacentral:tRNA from 1 species